rnacentral:rRNA from 1 species
AGCGAACGCUGGCGGCAGGCCUAACACAUGCAAGUCGAACGAACCUUUCGGGGUUAGUGGCGGACGGGUGAGUAACACGUGGGAACGUGCCUUUAGGUUCGGAAUAACUCAUGGAAACUUGUGCUAAUACCGAAUGUGCCCUUCGGGGGAAAGAUUAAUCGCCUUUAGAGCGGCCCGCGUCUGAUUAGCUAGUUGGUUGAGGUAAUGGCUCACCAAGGCUACGAUCAGUAGCUGGUCUGAGAGGAUGAGCAGGCACAUUGGGACUAAGACACGGCACAAAAUCCUACGGGAGGCAGCAGUGGGGAAUCUUGCGCAAUGGGCGAAAGCCUGAAGCAGCCAUGCCGCGUGAAUGAUGAAGGUCUUAGGAUUGUAAAAUUCUUUCACCGGGGACGAUAAUGACGGUACCCGGAGAAGAAGCCCCGGCUAACUUCGUG